UUUUACGUUGUGACUCCACUUUCAUGCUGCAGACCGUGUGACCCCUCUUCCUCUUAAAAUUACCUCUGACUAAGAUUUUAGCUAUCUGCUUUACUAUUUGCCUUUUGUGAUUUGGUGCCAAAUGUUGCUUUAUGAUGCACUCAUGAAGUGCCUUGGAACAAUUUACUAUUUUCAAGUUGCUUUAUAAUGCAAGUUCUUGCAAGUGUGUACAGCUCAGUAAUUUAAGAUUGAAAUUAUACCACAAUCUGCCUGAUGGAAACCUGCUUUACUUCACUUUCGGGAGCAGGUAUGCUUUUUUAGACCCGACAUGGAAAGAUGUGACCUCCCUUGCCGAGAUAUCAGCUGCUCCCAAUAGGCUGUUCUAGAGGAUUUGGGAGUAGCUGAGGAAAAUUUAAAAGCCAGAGCGUGUACACAUUUGCAUCCUCCUUUUAUCGCUCUUCAGACCAAAUACUGGACAUUCGUUGAAGAGCAUCUACCUAAAUGGGAACAGUUUUACUGGGUCAAGCAGAGAACCCUGUUGAAGUGACAAAUCCAAAGCAUGAAAAAUCACAGAUGGAAAAAACCUCAAGAUAAAGUUACCUUUGAAAGUAAUAAUUUGCUGCUGUUACCAUCUAUUUUCAAGACCCCUCAGUCUGCACAUCAGAAAAACAAGAAAGAACAUAGGUUUACAGAAAAAAGAUGGAUAACCUGAAAAGUACUUCUGUUAAGAAUUAAAUUUUAAGAUUUGUUAGACAUUAAUGUUAAUUGAACAGAUCAUGGGAAUUUUGCAUGACAAAUUGAUUUCUUUUACAUCAGAAUGUUUUAUUGAUCUCAUAAUUUCAGAAUGGAAUGAUGUAAAGUAAAUUCAGAGAAAUCUAUCAAUGCAAAAUAAGUGCAAUUGACCAAAUAAGUGCAUCAGAUUGGGGAAUUUUAAGUCCAUUUACACUGAGUAAAAUAUGUUUCUCAAAUCUUGAUUUUAAAAAUCAUUUCUUGAAAACCAACCUACACACAACAUUGGCCAUAACCUCCAGAUCAAAACGAUGAGUACUGCAAGUUUACAUUGGAGGAGGAGGCACUUUGUAAAUUUUUUUAGGCACAUGGACACUCGGUUUAAAAAGUUUUUACAUGCUGACUAAUUGGGUUAAAACUGACUCAACGCAAUAGUGAAGCUAUUAACUGGUUCAACAUAGUUCUUUUCAUGUCAUUUUCAGAGAAUUAAAAUCAGAUCGUUCACAGGCUGCAAAGACAACAUUGCUAAAGCAAUGUGGAUAAAAUUGUACCAAGUUACAAAUUCAGUGAUUGUUUUAAAGGUGAAAAGCAAAUAACCAAUUAUAUUUUAUGGUGUGCUUUUACAGAUGGUUUAAAAUUUGUAAUUGUGCAAAUGCUUUGGAUGUAAACUUACAAUCACAGUUUUGGAAAAGCAAUACAAUUUCAAGCACAUUUUUCACCCAGUUUUCUAGUUGCACUCAAUGUGAAAAUUUUAUGCCUCUGCUUGAUUAUCUAAAUAAGUGCUGAGUCAGGCCAGUUGACUUAAUAUGAUGUGAUAUCUAGCAAAAUAUUCUGUGAAUAUCUAAACUGCUUGUGCAUGAUGUAUAUUGUUUUCCAAUGCUUGAGUUGCACCAAAAUUUCCAAAGGCAGUAAAAAUACAGCUUUGAGAACACUUGAGUGCCAUUGUGCAUGCUUUGAAUUGAUCAGAUGCUAGGUUACUUAGAUAAGCAAGUGAAAGUUAAAUUCUCAAUGCAUUUUUAAAAUGUUUUGUCUUGUAAAAUAUAUUUUCUUAUUUA